CCUACGGGGGGCUGCAGUGAGGAAUAUUGGUCAAUGGGCGCGAGCCUGAACCAGCCAAGUAGCGUGAAGGACGACUGUCCCAUGGGUUGUAAACUUCUUUUAUAAAGGAAUAAAGUGAGGCACGUGUGCCUUCUCGAAUGUACUUUAUGAAUAAGGAUCGGCUAACUCCGUGCCAGCAGCCGCGGUAAUACGGAGGAUCCGAGCGUUAUCCGGAUUUAUUGGGUUUAAAGGGAGCGUAGAUGGGUUGUUAAGUCAGUUGUGAAAGUUUGCGGCUCAACCGUAGGAGUGCAAUUGAUACUGGCAGUCUUGAGUACAGUUGAGGUAGGCGGAAUUCGUGGUGUAGCGGUGAAAUGCUUAGAUAUCACGAAGAACUCCGAUUGCGAAGGCAGCUUACUAAACGGCCACUGACGUUGAUGCCCGAAAGUGUGGGUAUCAAACAGGAUUAGAUACCCGUGUAGUC
rnacentral:rRNA from 1 species